ncrna:unclassified sequences Glutamine-II riboswitch (downstream peptide RNA)
GUCCGUUCAUCCUGAUAUGGGACGCAUGCAAUCAAGUCAUGGAACGGGGACUUGGU